rnacentral:rRNA from 1 species
GUGCCAGCCGCCGCGGUAGUACGUAGGUGGCAAGCGUUGUCCGGAUUUAUUGGGCGUAAAGCGAGCGCAGGCGGUUUUUUAAGUCUGAUGUGAAAGCCCACGGCUCAACCGUGGAGGGUCAUUGGAAACUGGAAAACUUGAGUGCAGAAGAGGAAAGUGAAAUUCCAUGUGUAGCGGUGAAAUGCGCAGAGAUAUGGAGGAACACCAGUGGCGAAGGCGACUUUCUGGUCUGUAACUGACGCUGAUGUGCGAAAGCGUGGGGAUCAAACAGGAUUAGAUACCCUUGUAGUCC